rnacentral:rRNA from 1 species
GGAAAGACCCCGUGAACCUUUACUACAGCUUGGCACUGAACAUUGAACCUACAUGUGUAGGAUAGGUGGGAGGCUUUGAAGCACAGUCGCUAGAUUGUGUGGAGCCGUCCUUGAAAUACCACCCUUGUAUGUUUGAUGUUCUAACAUUGACCCCUUAUCGGGGUUGUGGACAGUGUCUGGUGGGUAGUUUGACUGGGGCGGUCUCCUCCCAAAUAGUAACGGAGGAGCACGAAGGUUAGCUAAUCACGGUCGGACAUCGUGAGGUUAGUGCAAUGGCAUAAGCUAGCUUAACUGCGAGACAGACACGUCGAGCAGGUACGAAAGUAGGUCAUAGUGAUCCGGUGGUUCUGUAUGGAAGGGCCAUCGCUCAACGGAUAAAAGGUACUCUGGGGAUAACAGGCUGAUACCGCCCAAGAGUUCAUAUCGACGGCGGUGUUUGGCACCUCGAUGUCGGCUC